AUUGAACGCUGGCGGCAUGCCUUACACAUGCAAGUCGAACGGCAGCACGGGGGCAACCCUGGUGGCGAGUGGCGAACGGGUGAGUAAUACAUCGGAACGUGCCCAGUAGUGGGGGAUAGCCCGGCGAAAGCCGGAUUAAUACCACAUGCGACCUACGGGUGAAAGCGGGGGAUCGCAAGACCUCGCGCUGUUGGAGCGGCCGAUGUCAGAUUAGGUUGUUGGUGGGGUAAAGGCCACCAAGCCGACGAUCUGUAGCUGGUCUGAGAGGACGACCAGCCACACUGGGACUGAGACACGGCCCAGACUCCUACGGGAGGCAGCAGUGGGGAAUUUUGGACAAUGGGGCAACCCUGAUCCAGCCAUGCCGCGUGCGGGAAGAAGGCCUGGUGUAACG
rnacentral:rRNA from 1 species